UUCAGCCUUCAUGUAGAUUUAUGUUUCUCAAGGCAGUGAAUGCUAGCUUGAUGGCUGGACUACAUUUACUUUUAGAUAAUAGGGCAUGCUUGUAAAUGUGAAUCUUUUCGGUAGUGGUUUUUUAAUUUCAUGGUCAGAAAUAUUAACAAAAUAACACAUAAAGAAGUCAUGAAUGAUGAAUUCGUUGCAGCUAACCCCAUUUGUCAUUGUGGCACAACAAUUUUGGCCACCAUUGGACGGAUUUAACGUUACAUUCUAGAUGAUUGACAGCUAAUUGAGGCAGGUAACCGUCGACUGAUGAUUGACAGCUAUAGACUGGACUCUUGUAGGCGUUAUCGCUUUGAUUGACAGCUAUAGACCAGACUUAGGCAGGUGUUAUCACCUAAAGCUUUCGGUUACAUGCAGCUCACUGGAUCGCCUCUAUAAAAAGGCUCAGAGUCUCUUCAAAAACUCAUCCAGUACAGCUCAAUCCUUCAAUUUCAUUUCUGUUAGUUUUAUGAGAGUUUCUUUUCUUCUUGUACCCCUAGAAGUACUAGAAGUUUUCCACAUAGGAAUUUCACCAUAGCGAUGGUUGUAAGCUCAAUUGAUUCCGAUGGAAACCUUUCCUCAUCAGAGUGGCUUUCCCUGAUGGACCUGACUGCAUUUUUGGUCCUCAGGAUCUGGUCAAACAGAUUACAAAAAAGGCGGACAUGGCAUCAAGAUGACCAUCCCCUUCUGUUAACGACCGCCUUGAGACUUGAGUUGGUUCAAAAUAAGAAGUCAUUCAUCAUUGAAGCACAAAUUUCAUCAAUCAGGAGUUGCUCUUUUUUACUCACAUUCCAAACAUUAUCACAAUCUUUUACUCACAUUCCUAACAUUAUAUAAACCAGAUUUUAAAAACCUUUA